GUGCCAGCAGCCGCGGUAAUACAGAGGGUGCGAGCGUUAAUCGGAGUUACUGGGCGUAAAGGGCGCGUAGGCGGUUUAGUGAGUGUGAUGUGAAAGCCCUGGGCUUAACCUAGGAAGCGCAUCGCAAACGACUAAACUGGAGUAUAAGAGAGGGUGGCGGAAUUUCCGGUGUAGCGGUGAAAUGCGUAGAGAUCGGAAGGAACGUCAAUGGCGAAGGCAGCCACCUGGCUUAAUACUGACGCUGAGGCGCGAAAGCGUGGGGAUCAAACAGGAUUAGAUACCCCGGUAGUCC
rnacentral:rRNA from 1 species